rnacentral:rRNA from 1 species
UACAUGUGGGGCAAGCGUUGUUCGGAAUUACUGGGCAUAAAGGGGGCGUAGGCGGCUUGUUAAGUCAGGGGGGAAAGUUUUCGGCCCAACCGGAAAAUUGCCUUUGAUACUGGCGAGCUGGAGUGUGUGAGGGGUGACCGGAACGAGUGGUGUAGCGGUGAAAUGCGUAGAUAUCACUCGGAAGGCCAACGGCGAAGGCAGGUCACUGGUGCGCAACUGACGCUGAGGCACGAAAGCGUGGGGAGCAAACAGG